AUUGAACGCUGGCGGCAGGCCUAACACAUGCAAGUCGAACGAGUGGCGGACGGGUGAGUAAUGUCUGGGAAACUGCCCGAUGGAGGGGGAUAACUACUGGAAACGGUAGCUAAUACGGCAUACCAUCGGAUGUGCCCAGAUGGGAUUGGGUAGUAGGUGGGGUAACGGCUCACCUGGGCGACGAUCCCUCGCUGGUCUGAGAGGAUGACCAGCCGCACGGGAACUUAGACACGGUCCAGACUCCUACGGGAGGCAGCAGUGGGGAAUAGUGCACAAUGGGCGCAAGCCUGAUGCAGCCAGGCCGCGUGUAUUAAGAAGGCCUUCGGGUUGUAAAGUACGUUCAGCGAGGAGGCGUUACUCGCAGAAGAAGCAUCGGCUAACUCCGUGCCAGCAGCCGCGGUAAUAC
rnacentral:rRNA from 1 species